rnacentral:rRNA from 1 species
GACGUAGGGCGCGAGCGUUGUCCGGAUUUAUUGGGCGUAAAGAGCUCGUAGGCGGCUUGUCGCGUCGUCCGUGAAAACUUGGGGCUCAACCCCAAGCUUGCGGUCGAUACGGGCAGGCUAGAGUUCGGUAGGGGAGACUGGAAUUCCUGGUGUAGCGGUGAAAUGCGCAGAUAUCAGGAGGAACACCGGUGGCGAAGGCGGGUCUCUGGACAGUUCCUGACACUGAGACACGAAAGCGUGGGGAGCGAACAGG